AGAGGCACAGGACAGCAGCAGGUUAUACCUCCCAAUGUACUGGGCUCCUUUGUGGAGACCCUGUCCUGUGUCCUGUUCCCUAAGAGGUCAGACAUGAGUUGAAUGGCAGGGGGACCCCACAGUCACGGCAGUUUGCAGGGAGGUUGGAUUUCUGUCAUUGUGGGCCUAGCAUUAAGGCUCCCAUCACACCUGCUAUCCUCUUCAGCCCCAGCUGACAGCCUGAGUCCUGCCUGUGUGUUCCUUGAGCUCAGAUAGACGGAUCCGAAGAAACUUCCCGAAUGUGUUUCUCAAGGGUUCCUCCCCAGUGUCCCCUGCAUUAGGUUUGCAGAGUCACCAUCUUCUGAUGCCAGUGUGGACUCCUCGCUCACCCCUGUUUGUCUAGUGCUCUUGGUUUCCAGCCCAGGAUGGGGAGUGUUCCAUAGUUGGUGGCUUCCCAUCGCUGCAUGAGGAUGGAGCAUCCAGAGUGGGUUCUGCUCUUGACAGAAGUGGAGCCACAGUACAGACCGGUUUGGCCAGCCAUCAAGCUCCUGGAAGCUCAGCCUGGUACUUAGCUGAGUGACUUAGUCACACACUGCUCCCACCUGAGGUCCAGCUGGUUUUCCAUUCCACCUCAGGGUCAGCCUUGCUGGAGAAUUGCAGGCUCUUGGCCCAUGGACUAUGCCAUCAGGAGCAAUCAGUCUGCACAGCACAGAGGACCUAGCCCUGGUGCUUGCCUGAGCAUGGGUGUUGCUUUUAUUAGUUUCUAACUUAAUAAAAGUGAGGAAGUUCUUGACCUCCUUUGGGUUCUGA
rnacentral:lncRNA from 1 species